rnacentral:rRNA from 1 species
UACUAGCGGUCCAAGUCGCAGCCAUUUUUAUUGGGUCUAAAACAUCCGUAGCUUGUUUUGUGAGUUUCUUGUGAAAUUUUGUUUCUUAAAGACAAACUGUGCAGGAAGUACUGCAAAACUAGAGACUGGGAAACGUAGGAAGUACGUUCAAAGUAGCGGUAAAAUGCUUUAAUCUUGGACGGACUCACAAUAGCGAAGGCAUCCUACGGGAACAGUUCUGACAGUAAGGGAUGAAGGCUAGGGGCGCAAAACGGAUUAGAUACCCCCGUA